rnacentral:lncRNA from 1 species
GAACAAGUAGACACACGAGUCCUACGUGGUAUAAUACACAUAGGACAUUACGCAGGAUACAAAUUGCCAUGUAGGAUGCCACAAAAGACAGUAUGUUUAUUUGUUCAACUUUAUGCAAAUUUAAGUGUCUACUUACGCACACUCAAAGAUGAAGAACAUAAAUGUGAGUUAAGGCUAAGUCAAAAGACGUAUUUAUGUAUUAAGCCUAACCUGUAAAUAUCUCACACAAACAAAGUUGCACAAAAAUGUUUGUGAUGUAUA